rnacentral:tRNA from 1 species
GUUAAUAUUUCCGAGUGGUUAAGGAGACAGACUUGAAAUCUGUUGGACUUUGCCCGUGCAGGUUCUAACCCUCCUGCCGACG